UGCUUAUGUCUAAGUAGGGAGCAUUAUUGAAUAAAUUUGAUUUUGGAAUCUAAAGUUGGGGAGAGUAAAGUAAAAAGAUUUGAUUAGAAACUUGGAAAAGUGAGUUUUUUAUGAAAGGGUGAAAAUAUGAAAAGAAACAAGAAAAAGAAAUCACCCUUGAAACCAUAGAGCAAAGAAAAAGAAAAGAUAGAAAAAACAAAGAAAAUGCUCAUGGUUGUGUGGAUGUAAAAAGAAAAAGAAAAGAAAAAGACGGGGAUCAAAGAAAUGGAAAUUGUGUAGAGUUGAAUAUAUGGAAAUGCUCC
rnacentral:lncRNA from 1 species